AACCCUGGCAAGAGUCGUGCUUUGCAGAAA
rnacentral:sRNA from 1 species